UACGUAGGUGGCAAGCGUUGUUCGGAAUUACUGGGCGUAAAGGGUUCGUAGGUGGCCAACUAAGUCAGACGUGAAAUCCCUCAGCUUAACUGGGGAACUGCGUCCGAUACUGGAUGGCUUGAAUCCGGGAGAGGGAUGCAGAAUUCCAGGUGUAGCGGUGAAAUGCGUAGAUAUCUGGAGGAAUACCGGUGGCGAAGGCGCAUCCUGGACCGGCAUUGACGCUGAGGAGCGAAAGCCAGGGGAGCAAACGGG
rnacentral:rRNA from 1 species